rnacentral:rRNA from 1 species
GAUGAACGCUGGCGGCGUGCCUAAUACAUGCAAGUCGAGCGAACAGACGAGGAGCUUGCUCCUCUGACGUUAGCGGCGGACGGGUGAGUAACAGGUGGAUAACCUACCUAUAAGACUGGGAUAACUUCGGGAAACCGGAGCUAAUACCGGAUAAUAUAUUGAACCGCAUGGUUCAAUAGUGAAAGACGGUUUUGCUGUCACUUAUAGAUGGAUCCGCGCCGCAUUAGCUAGUUGGUAAGGUAACGGCUUACCAAGGCAACGAUGCGUAGCCGACCUGAGAGGGUGAUCGGCCACACUGGAACUGAGACACGGUCCAGACUCCUACGGGAGGCAGCAGUGGGGAAUCUUCCGCAAUGGGCGAAAGCCUGACGGAGCAACGCCGCGUGAGUGAUGAAGGUCUUCGGAUCGUAAAGCUCUGUUGUUAGGGAAGAACAAAUGUGGAAGUAACUAUGCACGUCUUGACGGUACCUAAUCAGAAAGCCACGGCUAACUACGUG